rfam:Anolis carolinensis chromosome 3, whole genome shotgun sequence.
AGGUGGGAGGGCAAUCUGGCUAUGAUGUUAGUCACCCCGUCUGACUAGAUGGGUGUCCCCUUCCUCCCUCACCACUCCAUGUGCAUCCCUCCCAAAGCUGCACACUAGGUGGAAGAGGACGACGUCCCUGAUACAGGAGUGUACCAAGGUCUCCAGUCUUGGGUCCCAGUAUACAACAGCUGCGCUCCUCUGCUAGAACUGCUGAACAAGCUCAUCUUGUCUGAGAUGUUUACUUACUUACUUACUUACUUAUUAACUUACUUUACUUCUAU